CAAUACUGAUGCGAAGAGAUGUCGUACGUGUUCACGAACAGUUACUUGUUAUGUUUAGUCGUUGUGUUGUGAGGAAUCGAUGAUCGUUGAAUUAUCGUGAAUCGUUCCUGGUGUUCUUAGUAUCCCGGCAGCAUUGAAUUAUGCACUUUUAUAAGGAGAAGCUCCUGUCGCCCGGACAACUUAAACGCCUUAGUGAGCACAAAUACAGCUGCACAACCAACAGUCUUUUGGAUGGACUUCUUCAACCCUGGUGGAACUGGCUAGUUAGCAAAGUUCCACUUUGGCUUGCGCCCAAUUUAAUCACGGUCUUGGGGCUUGUCGUCAACAUCCUCACGACUUUAAUUCUUGUUUAUUAUAGCCCCGAUGCUAGGACCGAGGCACCAAGAUGGGCGUGUUUUCUAUGCGCGCUAGGUUUGUUCAUUUAUCAGAGUUUGGAUGCGAUAGAUGGUAAACAAGCUAGACGAACAGGAACUUCGACACCAUUAGGGGAAUUGUUCGAUCAUGGAUGCGAUUCCAUAUCGACAGUAUUUGUUGCCCUAUCAGCAUGUAUAGCAGUACAGUUAGGAUAUUAUCCAACAUGGAUGUUUUUCCAAUGUUUCUGCGCUAUGACACUUUUUUAUUGUGCUCAUUGGCAGACUUACGUUUCAGGAACAUUAAGGUUUGGCAAGGUGGACGUUACAGAAGCACAGUUUACCAUUAUAACCAUUCACCUGAUUUCUGCAAUCUUUGGACCUAAAGCAUGGAUGAUGGAGAUACCAUACAUAGAUGGUUUUAUGUUUAAGUAUUUAAUAGGAGUUAUGACAGUGAUUUGUUCACUGGCAAACUUAUAUUCCAUCUUUUCGGUGAUUUUCACCGGAGGAGUGGGCAAGAAUGGUUCAACUGUGGCUUUGCCAUAUACUGGCACAGAGAUCAAGGUGUUUCCGUUAUGGGCUGCUGUGGGCAUCGCUAUUUUACUUGCACAGAGCAGCAUAUCCGUCAUUCUUGCCGGUGGUGUCGGAAAAAAUGGCUCCACCGUCGCAGGAACAUCAGUUUUAUCUCCAAUUAUUCCAUUUAGUUUUGUGGUACUGCCAGCUUUUAUAAUUUAUAGAAAAAGUGCUGAGCACGUAUAUGAAAAUCAUCCUGCAUUGUACAUACUUGCAUUUGGAAUGGUUGCAGCUAAAGUUACCAAUCGAUUAGUGGUUGCACAUAUGACAAAAAAUGAAAUGCAGUAUUUAGACAGUUCGCUGAUUGGACCAGCAAUGCUGUUCCUGAAUCAGUAUUUCAAUUUCUUUAUCAAAGAAUAUUAUGUUCUUUGGUUGUGCUUUAUUUGGGUUACUCUGGAUUUACUCCGGUAUAGUUCUCAAAUUUGCCUUGAGAUCUGCGAUCACAUGAAGAUCAGACUAUUUAGGAUACCGAUAGGAGAUCAUCGAACAACCCAGGUUUCUAACACAGCUGAAAAAAAUGGUACUAACAGGUCCCAACGUAACAGAUUGCAAAAGAAACAUCACUAAGAUUUAUUUGUGAUAAUGAAUGUACUAUACGAUUCAUUUUAUCUAUAAAUGAAAGAGUUACAAUGUAAGAAGACAUAGAUAUUUGAUAAGUUCCGUUACUACAACUGUAUAUAAAAAUUUGAAUGGUACAGUUCAUUUGUUAUCACAUUAAUUUAUGAUUACUCCGUAUCUGAUUAGCAUUGAAUAUAAAUAAAAAGUCUCACCAAUAUGUUGGUUAAAAAUAUUAUUCACUGCUUGUCGUCGAUUACGAUUAUUCCGGUGAUAGAAAUGGAAAAUUUAUCAGGAAUCUAGUGAUCAAAAUUAUAGUUAAACGAAUAGAACGAUAGAGUACGCAGAACAAUAGACCUCACAAUGAAAGAAAUGAUACAUAAGUAUUAUUCGAGAAUUUGAAGAAAAAAGAUAUGACAUAAAUGUUAAGUAACUUUAUAUCCCAUUGUUAUAACUUUUAUAAUAAUUUAAUUAAAUCAUUGAAUGUGAAUGAAUUACUUAAUUUUUAUUUUGUUAAUAAUUAUAGUUCAAUGAUAUUAUAUUAGAAAUUCGACAUACAUUUCUUUGUGACUUUUGAACUACAAAGAAAAUUUCACACGAUGAAAAGCUCUAUAGAAGAUUAAGUUUUGCAUAUUAUCUUGAAAAGAAAUUAGAUUGCCAGUACUUUUGUAGUUAUUUAUCAGUUAGUAUACUAUAUUCGUGAUCUCAUAAUAUAACAAUCUAUUAACAAUAUGAAAUUUAGACAAAAAAUUAUUUUUUUUUUUCAGAUCUGUAGCUCUUAACUGACGUGUAUAUAGAUUCAUAAUACAGAUAUUCCAAUAUUUACAUAGUCAAUUAUAACAAAAAACUACUUAUAAAAAUAUUACCAAAGAUAAUUGCUUCGAGCUAAAGUGAUCCUAAUCUAGAAUGUCUAGACCUUUUUAUAAAAAGGUCUUAAAAUGUCUGUUACCUUUUUUUUUUCAACAAAAUUUCGAUUUAGGUUUAAUGAAGAUUUGUAAGGAAUUGAAGUUUCUAAAAGAAUAUUCUUUUUGUAUGAAGUUUUAAUUGAUAACAACUGAGAAAUUAUAAACAAAAAAAUGUUUAGUAUAGGAGGAAAAUCGUACUAUUUUCAUUUUUUAAUAAUUUUAGUUCAACUCAGUUGUGGCCUUAACAUGCGCUUAUGAUUGCAAUCACAUGAAAUGCGUUUUCAAAUCAGGAAUCUCAUUUUUAUGUGAAAAGAAUUAAAUUUUUAUUUAUUGUAAUCGAUGGUUUUUCACGCCAGGUUGGUCAGAAAACGCAUGUCAUUGUAAAAUUUGUUUACAAUUGUUUACAAGUACUAUAGAUUCUAUAGUUUCAUAGGGAAAAACUAUAUAGCUUCGAAAGUAUAAUACGCUUAUAAAGAAACAAUUCAAUCAAAAGCUGCAUACAAAUUUAAAUCGCGGUGUUAGAGUCAAAAAUUAUUUCAAGCGAGUAAUGUUAUUACUCGCUAGAAUUAACGAUACAGGUUGUCGAUAAAUUGUAUCGUAAUAAUCUACAUUUAUUUCAAGCAAAGCUUUUUCAUGGACAAAAUUUUGUUUGAAACGUAUUGGUUGUGAAAAAGAUCGCGCGUAGAAAAUUUAAAUUUGAAUAAGAGAGAAACAGAAUAAUAUUCGCUAAGUACUUUAUAAAUUUGAAUUAUUUCGUAGAAUUAUAUUACUUUAUUGUAGAAGAUUCUAUUAGACAUACACUAUUCCAGUUGUAUGGCUCUUAUUUAAGCAAGCCUUGAAUUUUUACGAAACAGUUAAGAUAUCAGAAUGACAAUAUUUCUAAGAAGCUUUUCUGCAAUAUUGCCAGAAAAUAAAUAUGUAUCUAAUAUACUAAUGUAUCGUACCUUGGUUUCUGUUCGUAAACUGUAAUAUACUUUUUCGAUAAACAAUUUUCCUAUCACGUGCUAUCUUUCAUUUACACGUUUUCGUUAGAAAAGUUUGUAACGAUGAGAAUCUUUGGAAUUACUUUCUCCUUUUCCUUUCUUCAGAUUUAAUCCAUGUUAAUCCUUUCAAGAUGAUUGCAAAGUUCGCAUGAUGGUGGAACAAGAACCUCUGUUAGACGAGGAUUAUCAUCACGGAUCUGAUACCACCCUCGACCUAUGAUGGAUACAAAAGUAUACAUCAGCGAAAAAUAAUUAUCUGAAGUUACAGGGUUGCGCAAAGAUCUCUGCAUUUACAAAUGUUUACUUUUACAUCUGUUUUCCUCAAUUUACAAGAAGUAGAAAGAGUGAAUUAUCAGAAACAGAAUAUUGUAUUUCAACUUCUUUAAACUUUUAUUGAAUCAUAUAUUGAAUGAUAGUAACAUAUAUUUUGAAGAUUUACUUCAAAGAGAAUUUCGCGUUACCCUGUGUAUCAUAGACUUUAGUUCUAUUGAUAACAGUGAUAGAUACGAGACUGUCCAAUGGUUUUCGAAUGAGAGAGGUAAAACAGUGUACAUCAUAGAAUAUUAGAGUGGAACUGCGAAGUACAACUACGGUAUCGCCGUUUGUAAGACGAAAAAUAAUAAUUAUUCUUAUAUAGCCUUGAAAAUCGUGAAUUAUACAAUUUCGUAAUCGAUAGUAUCUGGAUUAGCAAACCUUUAUAAAACAACGGAUAGAAUGCAAUUGUUCAGAGCGUAUAUACAGAUGCACUUCGACGAUUAUGUAAGAUACAAAUAAAACGAUCAAUUAUUUUUCCACGUGCAAUUUCAAAUAAAAACUUUUCGCUUUAACUCGGUACAAAUUUUAGUAUAACAGAAUACGUAUGAAUUUCUAUCAGUUAGAAUUGCACAAUGGUCAUAAAAUUUUUAUCAUGAGUAUGCAAUAUCGAAUUUUCGUCGUAGACUGAAUGAAAAUCUAAUUACUUUAUAGCAGAACUGUAAAUUCUUAAUUACAAUUACAAAACGAUUACUUGAUCAAGUAAUUGAAUAAUUGCCAUUACAAUUACUCUGUUGCAUGUAAUGGUAUUUCCAAUUACUUAAUUACUACCAGUAAUCUUAUGCAUUACUUAAUAAUUACUUAUAACGGCCCAGAAAGUAAUUAAAAGGCGUCUCAAAUCUAAAGUAGUCAAAAAUACCUAAAAGUAAUUAAAAAGUAAUUAUAACUACUUUUUUAAUUACUUUCAAGUAACUGCAGUGAUAUGGACAAUAAUUGUUAAAAGUAAUGAUUACUGUAUUUCAAUUAUUUGUAAUUACUUUGAAUUACUUUUGCUCAAAUCUAAAGUAGUUAAGUAUACCUAAAAGUAAUUAAAAGUAAUUAGAAGUCAGUAAUCAUUACUUUUAACAAUUACUGUCCAUGUAACUGCAAUUACUUGAAAGUAAUUAAAAAAGUAGUUAUAAUUACUUUUUAAUUACUUUUAGGUAUACUUAACUACUUUAGGUUUGAGACGCCUUUUAAUUACUAUCUGGACAGUUAUAAGUAAUUAUUAAAAAGUAAUUGAAUUACUCAGUAAUUAAGAAUAAGGUAUUGCAUAAUUACUAAAAAAAAAGUAAUCAACAAUUACUUAAAUAAUUACUUUCUACUUCCAAAGUAAUUGUUCCAAAUUGUAAUAAAUUACAAAAUAAUCAUUACUUUACAGCUCUGGUUUAUAGUUAUAUCAAAGAUGUUAAAGAGAUAGUAAUAGUUUUGUAUUAAUAUUUAUUGUAUCAAACUUGUAACAAUACGGUGAUAAUAAUAUUUUACUUAACGCUCGCGUACGAGUGCCUACAUUUUUAUCUACAAAA